UACGUAGGGGGCAAGCGUUGUCCGGAUUCAUUGGGCGUAAAGAGCGUGUAGGCGGCCAGGUAGGUCGGUUGUGAAAACUGGAGGCUCAACCUUCAGAGGUCGACCGAAACCAUCUGGCUAGAGUCCGGGAGAGGAGAGUGGAAUUCCUGGUGUAGCGGUGAAAUGCGCAGAUAUCGGGAGGAACACCAGUAGCGAAGGCGGCUCUCUGGGCCGGUACCGACGCUGAGGAGCGAAAGCUAGGGGAGCGAACAGG
rnacentral:rRNA from 1 species